AAUAAAUAUAGUUUUAUACUAUUUAUAUCCAACGUUUCACCGUUCAUCUUAUUUAAAAUUUUUUUAUGAUUAUUAUUUUUAUUGUUAUUAGAUGAUAAAAGAUGAAUAUUAGUUGAUGUGUGACUAUUGUUAUUUAGUUUUUUUUAUAAAUUUUUUAAAUAAGAUGGACAGGCAAACACCGAGCACAGAUACCCACGACUGUA
rnacentral:pre_miRNA from 1 species